rnacentral:rRNA from 1 species
AUUGAACGCUGGCGGCAGGCCUAACACAUGCAAGUCGAGCGGAUGAAGGGAGCUUGCUCCUGGAUUCAGCGGCGGACGGGUGAGAAAUGCCUAGGAAUCUGCCUGGUAGUGGGGGAUAACGUCCGGAAACGGGCGCUAAUCCCGCAUACGUCCUGAGGGAGAAAGUGGGGGAUCUUCGGACCUCACGCUAUCAGAUGAGCCUAGGUCGGAUUAGCUAGUUGGUGGGGUAAAGGCCUACCAAGGCGACGAUCCGUAACUGGUCUGAGAGGAUGAUCAGUCACACUGGAACUGAGACACGGUCCAGACUCCUACGGGAGGCAGCAGUGGGGAAUAUUGGACAAUGGGCGAAAGCCUGAUCCAGCCAUGCCGCGUGUGUGAAGAAGGUCUUCGGAUUGUAAAGCACUUUAAGUUGGGAGGAAGGGCAGUAAGUUAAUACCUUGCUGUUUUGACGUUACCAACAGAAUAAGCACCGGCUAACUUCGUG